rnacentral:rRNA from 1 species
AACGAACGCUGGCGGUAUGCCUAACACAUGCAAGUCGAACGAAGGCCUCGGCCUUAGUGGCGCACGGGUGCGUAACGCGUGGGAAUCUGCCCCUCGGUUCGGAAUAACAGUUAGAAAUGACUGCUAAUACCGGAUGAUGACUUCGGCCCAAAGAUUUAUCGCCGAGGGAUGAGCCCGCGUAGGAUUAGGUAGUUGGUGGGGUAAAGGCCUACCAAGCCGACGAUCCUUAGCUGUUCUGAGAGGAUGAUCAGCCACACUGGGACUGAGACACGGCCCAGACUCCUACGGGAGGCAGCAGUGAGGAAUAUUGGACAAUGGGCGCAAGCCUGAUCCAGCAAUGCCGCGUGAGUGAUGAAGGCCUUAGGGUUGUAAAGCUCUUUUACCCGGGAUGAUAAUGACAGUACCGGGAGAAUAAGCUCCGGCUAACUCCGUGCCAGCCGCCGCAGUAACAC